UUCUCCUUCUGGGGACACCUUGUCCCCUCAGCCCAGAGCAAAUGCUGAGCACUCAAGGUCAUGUCUGCUUGGGAAUGAUCAUAAGGGAGCUUUUGGAUUUGGUGCGUUGAUGGCUGAGGAGAGACUGUGUGUAGAGAAAUUGGUGGAGGAUAGAAAAACAACUUGAGACUUCUUGAGAGGUCCUGUGGCUGAGACAGAGACCCCCACAGUAGGAGAGUGGCUCCCUCAACUGAGGUGCCUGAAUGGUUAACCCUUUAAUUUUGUUUUUCCUUAAGGAAAUGUUCCUGUACCUAGCAGUAUUCCAGUCAGCAGGAUAGUAGCCCAGAGUCCUAGAGACACAAUGUCUUGAUUCAACUGACUGGUCCUUCAUCCCCAUCACACUGACAUUCAGUUCUCCCCACCUCUCACCUCAUAAUGCUGUAUUUUUUUUAAAUCUUCUUUGGGAGCUUUUACUGAAAUGGCAAAGAACACUUUCCCACCGCCUACCUCACCACCUCCUCCACCCUCCCAUCCACCCCUUCUCCCUCCUCCUACUCCACAAAGCAAGGAUUAAGAAGACAUGCUUCUGUUUCCUCACUUUCCUUACUCCAGAUUCAGUGUGAUUUAGAACCUUCAUCCAUCUGUGUUUAUAAGAAGGCUACCAAUACAAAGAAGGCAGAGGUUCCAGACCACACCAACAGCAGUGAUCCUUACAGCAUUUGAGGACAGGUUGACCUCAGAUGAGUGCCCUAAAAUGUUUCGUUCUCCAUCACCACGGUGUUGAUUAAAUGAAUCAAGCAAAGUACAAAGCACGCAAAUGAAGAAGUGGGAACAGACAUCCACCCAGUACCAGGCCUGGCUUCAGAAUGCUAAUGUCAUUUUGUUUUCACUGCGGCCCUCAACUGUGGGGCGACUGUUUUCUACGUCUUUCGAGGUAAGACAGAUGCAGAGGUCAUGCCUGAGAUCGUGCCAGAUUCGAACAGCCUUGUCCUUAGUGCUUUCCACACCGACCUCGGAGAUCCUCCUCUUCAGCUUCCUCUAUCAGUGAAGGGCCCAGGGCCCCAUCACCCUGGAUGGGUAGAUGCAAGGGGACCAGCUGCUAACACGGGCGGUGUGGAAGAUCCACUGCUUCCUUUCUCAUCACCCAUUGCUGGCGGCUGCUGGUGUUGAGACUGGGGGACACGGCCUCAUUCCAGCUCUUCUUCCAGAUCCCGACUUAGUGCUCAGACCCGCAUCCCUGCCUGCAGCAACAGCACAGUCCCAUCUUGUCUUAACACCGCUGUCCUUGUUAUACUGCAUGACAGGUGUCACUUGGUUGUUUGAUUUUAUUUUUUUAAUGACAAUUUGCUAUGACUGUCUCUCUCUUUUUUUAUUUUCCGCUAUUUUGUUAAGCUUGUCCCUCUGAGAGAUUCACCUUGAGUUCAUCUCCCAGAAGCCCAGUCAACCAGUCAGGUAUCCAUCUACCUGCCCAGGCACCUGUGUGUCUAUUGGAAAGUCCCUGUAUGCCAGACAGGCUCUGUGUUAGAAGGCAGAGGUAGCAAAGGGGUGGGGUGUCUGUCAUGUGGGGAUCACCAUCUGUGGACCUGGGUCUCAGGAUCCAAAUCUUCCAUUUCAGUGGGCUAAAGGGCAUGGGAGGAGAGACAAUGGCAAGAUUGCUGUGACUGACCCUUCUUCCAGCUUGGAGGAGAAGGGCAAGACAGCACAGCAAACAGAAGGGGAGACUGACUGUGACUUUGAUGUUUACAAGCUUGGGUCUGGUCCCCGAGGGGAGAACAUUGGCUUUUACCACCAGAAUCUCUGCUUGCAGAUAAAGCUAGAUGCUGCAGUUCUUUGCAGGCUGAGGCAGACUGGGGGCUACUCAGCUAUCUUCCUCCACAUUUUCUUGACUUGUGCCUAUUGCCAUGUCUCUUUGGUUAAAUCUCCCUGGAAACCAUAUCAGUUCUACUGCCCCUGCAAAUGACAUCUUGCCCCUCCCCUAGUUUUUGUUGUUUUUUGUUGUUGUUGUUUUUUGCAUGCUCACUGACUUAAAUCUCUCCCACUGCUUAUUCCUUGACACCAAUUCAGUGUGGAAAAUUCCAGAUGCCCAAUAUUGUUCACAAAUCACAUUUCUCUGCUGAUGGUACAGGGAGGCUUUCCAUAAGAGGACAGAUUAGGACAGCAUUCUGUGAGUGGGAAAAGACAGUCACAUGCCUUCAGUAUAUUGUUCUAGAAAAAGACAAAUAAAAAAGAAAGGGUCAAUGCCUUAGUUAGGGUUUCUAUUGCUGUGAAGAGACAUCAUGACCAGAGCAACUCUUAUUAAGGAAAUAAUUUAAAUGGGGCUGGCUUAUAGCUCAGAGCUUUAGUUCAUUGUCAUUAUAGUGGGAAGCAUGGCAGCAUGCAGGCAGACAUGGUGCUGGAGAGAUAGCUGAGAGUUCUCUGUCUGGAUCAGCAGACAGUGGGAAGAGAGAAUGACACUGGACCUGGCUUGGGCUUCUGAAACCUCAAAGCCCACCCCUAGUGACACACUUCCUCCAACAAGUCCACACCUACUCCAACAAGACCACACCUCCCAAUAGUUGCCAGUCCUGGUGAGCCCAUGGGAAACAUUUUCACUCAAACGGCCACAUUUGAUUUCUUAUCUGUUCCUUUGUUCCUUAGAGAAAACACAAUACACAAUUUGUGGCCAAAGAGAAUUUGAAGACAGGACACUGUAUUUUUUCUAUGUUAGAAAGUCUGGUCUUUUGAGUCAUGUCUGGAGACUCAGGGUAGGGUGAUCAUGAUCACAUAAUGAUCUUUCAAGGGUUCAGGAACUUUGAAAUGAUGGGUAGUGAUGGGGUGAAGUCUGAGACAUCAGCCAAAGCUCCUUCCACUAUUCUGUACACGGUCCCUUCUCCACCCUCCUGGAAGCACACCCUAUCAGCCAUAGGGGCCAUCUGUAGCCUAAAGUCAAGAUGAGCAACUGGAAGAAGAUACUAAACACGGUGACUUUGCAUCAAGAACUUAAGUAGAAAAGAUGCAGAUGUAGUCACUGUAUAAUGGACAAAAGUUUGCAUUAAAACAUGCAUAUGAAUGUUUCUCCUGCAUAUCUGUAUACCAUGUGCAUAUAGUGCCCAUAAACACCAGAAGAGGGUGCACAAGACAAUAAACCUGGAAGCCAUUCACUCA